rnacentral:rRNA from 1 species
CCCUUAGAUGUUCUGGGCCGCACGCGCGCCACACUGAUGCAUUCAACGAGUCUAAAACCUGGUCUGAUAGGGCUGGGUAAUCUUUUGAAUGUGCAUCGUGAUUGGGAUAGAUGAUUGCAAUUCUUCAUCUUCAACGAGGAAUGCCUAGUAAACGCAAGUCAUCAGCUUGCAUUGAUUACGUCCCUGCCCUUUGUACACACCGCCCGUCGCUCCUACCGAUUGAAUGUUCCGAUGAAUACCAUGGACUGAGAGUAUGAAUGGGUUCGCCUAUUUCUGCUUCUCGGGAAGUGGAGUAAAUCUUAACAUUUAGAGGAAGGAGAAGUCGUAACA